rnacentral:lncRNA from 1 species
CUCCAUUUCCAUGGCCAUGGCUCUGCCUGCAUCUCUGGAGACCUGUUCCUGCCAGGGCCAACCAGGCCACCACAGACACCAGUGAUCACGAGGUAAGGCCCCUAUCUCCAAUCCCCUGUCUGUUGCUUCCUCUGGGCAAACCCAACAAUGGCAAGCUCUGCCCUGCCUCUACUGCACUCCAUUGCUGCCACAACUCCACCUACAUCCAUGGAGGCCUGCUGCUGCCCACUCAGGACAAACAAAGGCCUGCAACCACCAGGGACAACCAGAUCUACCUGCAGCCCCAGAGGCAUCAGGGACUACCAGGCCAGUGCAAGAACAUGAACAACAAAAGACCACCUCAACAUCAACAGUCUUAAUUCCUCAAUAAAAAGACAUAGGCUAAUAGAAUAAAUACGGCUGUGCUUCCACACCUGAGGGUCCCUGCCCCUAGGCAGCUGCGAUUGGUAAUAAAGAAUUACCGUACAGCCAAUGACUGGCCAAGGAGACUGUGGCAGGACUUUUAGACUGUACAGGCAAGAGACUGAGGGAGACAGGACAGAGAGAGAGAAUCUCCAUGAUGGGAAAGCAGAAGGAUGAAACUUAAAGGCCCAAAGAAUCCUAAGCUUGGCUGUCCUGGAAGUUGCUGUAUAGAUUGACUUUGAACCCAGAGAUCUGCAUGGCUCUGUCUCCUGGGAUUAAAGGUAUGAACCAGCACAAC